rnacentral:rRNA from 1 species
UGGGGAAUAUUGCACAAUGGGCGCAAGCCUGAUGCAGCCAUGCCGCGUGUAUGAAGAAGGCCUUCGGGUUGUAAAGUACUUUCAGCGGGGAGGAAGGGAGUAAAGUUAAUACCUUUACUCAUUGACGUUACCCGCAGAAGAAGCACCGGCUAACUCCGUGCCAGCAGCCGCGGUAAUACGGAGGGUGCAAGCGUUAAUCGGAAUUACUGGGCGUAAAGCGCACGCAGGCGGUUUGUUAAGUCAGAUGUGAAAUCCCCGGGCUCAACCUGGGAACUGCAUCUGAUACUGGCAAGCUUGAGUCUCGUAGAGGGGGGUAGAAUUCCAGUUGUAGCGGUGAAAUGCGUAGAGAUCUGGAGGAAUACCGGUGGCGAAGGCGGCCCCCUGGACGAAGACUGACGCUCAGGUGCGAAAGCGUGGGGAGCAAACAGG